UACGUAGGGCGCAAGCGUUAUCCGGAAUUAUUGGGCGUAAAGAGCUCGUAGGCGGUUUGCCGCGUCUGCCGUGAAAGUCCGGGGCUCAACCCCGGGCUUGCGGUCGAUACGGGCAGGCUGGAGUUCGGUAGGGGAGACUGGAAUUCCUGGUGUAGCGGUGAAAUGCGCAGAUAUCAGGAAGAACACCCGUGGCUAAGGCGGUUCUCUAGUACGGUACUGACGCUGAGACGCGAAAGCGUGGGGAGCGAACAGG
rnacentral:rRNA from 1 species